CAGUCGCCACGGGAAUACGUAGGUCCCGAGCGUUGUCCGGAAUUACUGGGCGUAAAGCGUGCGCAGGCGGUUGUGUAAGACAGGUGUGAAAUCCCCGGGCUUAACCUGGUAACUGCGCUUGUGACUGCACAGCUAGAGUAUGGCAGAGGGGGGUGGAAUUCCACGUGUAGCAGUGAAAUGCGUAGAGAUGUGGAGGAACACCGAUGGCGAAGGCAGCCCCCUGGGCCAAUACUGACGCUCAUGCACGAAAGCGUGGGGAGCAAACAGGAUUAGAUACCCGGUAGUCCCUGUCUCUUAUACA
rnacentral:rRNA from 1 species